rnacentral:rRNA from 1 species
UGCAGUCGAACGGUAACAGGUCUUCSGAUGCUGACGAGUGGCGAACGGGUGAGUAAUACAUCGGAACGUGCCCGAUCGUGGGGGAUAACUACUCGAAAGAGUGGCUAAUACCGCAUACGAUCUACGGAUGAAAGCAGGGGACUCGCAAGGGCCUUGCGCGGACGGAGCGGCCGAUGGCAGAUUAGGUAGUUGGUGGGAUAAAAGCUUACCAAGCCGACGAUCUGUAGCUGGUCUGAGAGGACGACCAGCCACACUGGGACUGAGACACGGCCCAGACUCCUACGGGAGGCAGCAGUGGGGAAUUUUGGACAAUGGGCGAAAGCCUGAUCCAGCAAUGCCGCGUGCAGGAUGAAGGCCUUCGGGUUGUAAACUGCUUUUGUACGGAACGAAAAGACUCCUUCUAAUAAAGGGGGUUCAUGACGGUACCGUAAGAAUAAGCACCGGCUAACUACGUGCCAGCAGCCGCGGUAAUACGUAGGGUGCAAGCGUUAAUCGGAAUUACUGGGCGUAAAGCGUGCGCAGGCGGUUAUGUAAGACAGAUGUGAAAUCCCCGGGCUCAACCUGGGAAUUGCAUUAGUGACUGCAUAGCUAGAGUGCGGCAGAGGGGGAUGGAAUUCCGCGUGUAGCAGUGAAAUGCGUAGAUAUGCGGAGGAACACCGAUGGCGAAGGCAAUCCCCUGGGCCUGCACUGACGCUCAUGCACGAAAGCGUGGGGAGCAAACAGGAUUAGAUACCCUGGUAGUCCACGCCCUAAACGAUGUCAACUGGUUGUUGGGAAUUCACUUUCUCAGUAACGAAGCUAACGCGUGAAGUUGACCGCCUGGGGAGUACGGCCGCAAGGUUAAAACUCAAAGGAAUUGACGGGGACCCGCACAAGCGGUGGAUGAUGUGGUUUAAUUCGAUGCAACGCGAAAAACCUUACCCA